UCGGUAAAGAUGCCCUUCUCACCUACUGUUUUAACUUUGAAUUCGUUCUAGCGAGUAUCAAUAAUUUCUUCAGACUGCCCAGCACAAGCAGUGAAGCCAAAAGCAAUCAACCAGCCGACCCAACUUUUAGAAAGAAAAAUAAAACAAAAUUGAUCCGAGUGCUGAGCCAAUUAUAGAGUUGACACAGACUACCCUUCAGCAACAACGUUGUUAGCCACUUGAUAUCAAACCAUUUGUUCCAAUGCGCAGAUAAUCGAGAGAUUGCAGCUGACUACGCUAAUCAUUCUAAAAGCCUAAAACUAUUAGAAAAAGGCUCAAUUUUUGUCUUUAACGCGUGCGAUCGGCCGCGAUCGGCCAUGGUCUUCGAGAAGCGGAUUACGCAAAACCGGGGUUCUGUGCAGAAGUUCAAAACCAUUCGACCAUCAAGCCGAUCUCAAAGCCUUCCACCUUCCCCUCCAAGAAUUCAACCCGAUCAAGCUCCAGGCCCACGAACCCGACAAUCAUCUCAUCCCGCGGCCGCCGUAAAACCCAGAAUUCGUCCGACAGAAAUCAAGUUACCUUGCGACCGGAGUCGAUGAGAAUAGGGUCGGUGCAGAGACGCAGGAAGACGUCCUUCUUCCUAGUCAGCGAGGGCCCAAAAGGCGGCGGCGGCGAGGAAGUGGAGACGAUGAGGUCGAGAUCGGUGGGGAGGAAGUUGCGCCAGACGGCGUCGGAGUCGGAGGCGGAGCGGAAGGCGCGGGAGAGGGUGGCGCAGCGGCCGGCGUCGGCAGGGGUGGCGCGGCCGGCGUCGAGCGGGGUGGCGAGGGCCAGGGAGAGUAUGCGGGCGAUGCAAUUCGCGGGCAAGGCGCCCAGCUCCACCAUCUCUUUCGUCGGGAUGAUCGAUCGACCGAUCGCGUUCGAAGUUCGAUCGGUCCGAUGAUGUUCUCGUUUCGAUUCGGUCUGAGGUUGCUGACAACCACGGGCUCAGCUACGAAGCAGAGGCUUCCCAGUCUCCAGUUCUUUUUUUUCUUUUUCUUUUUUUAUGUCUCUUUUCUGGUCUUUUCUUGGGUCACCCGGAACUUACCCGAUUUGUUCGGUGAUAGAAAAAUACUUUUCAAAAGCUUCCGUCAAGAUGAUGGUUAUGGAAAAAAUCUCCGAGAAGUCGAAAAGUCUUUCCCUCUCUCUUCUCUGUCGUCUUCGACCUUCAAUCAUUGGGAGGGUUCGAGCUAGUCUCACCCUCCCCUCCAUCCAUUUUGAUUUUCUUUGAAGUUUUCUUUUACUUUUCCCAUUUUUUCUCUCCUGAUUUAGAUUUGGGAGUUGUGCUCCCCAGAUUUGAGAGUUUGAACUCUUUGAAUCUAGUUUGAGACCAAUGAGUUAGACUAAUGAGUUUUUCUCUCCCAAUUUAGAUCUAGAAAUUUAAUAAUAUUUUCAGAAACUUGAUACUCCCAUGCUCUAUCCGUGUACAGGUCAUCUACCUCCACUUUCAGUAAUGAUUGUUGGAACUCUAGCGUCUCAUUAAAUUAUAAAGAUUUGCUCUUCCAAAGGCUAGAUUUGUAUUUAUUCGAUAUAUUUGGUCGUCUCCAUAUGUCAAUAAUAUAGAGAAAGCCAAAUUUAAGUGCGCAUCACCAACUAGCAACGCUGUAGUUAUUAGAGAAUGAAUUUCCAGUGUGUGUUCAUUAUUGACAAUAAUAAAAGAUCUAGUGAUUGAUCAUCAAUUAUCUUGCUUUUAGAAUGAAUAUAUAUGCUUAACCCUUCUGAUGCUUUGUUGAUACACCUUGUUUUCUGAAUUUGGCUUUGUUUGUAGUAUUUUGACCUUUGUUUUGCUUCAAUUUGCUUUACUUCUCAUAUAUUCUUUUGAGCCAUGAAUAUAAUUUUUUUUCUAACAAAAUAAAAAAGCUUCCAUUAAGGUUUCACUCUAUCCUUAAAUGAGAUAAAUAAAGAAGAUGAAGGAAAAGAAUCCAAAGAAACCAGAAAAAUAUAAUUUUUUGUUUCUGAAAUAGAGUUAUCAUAAUAAAGGAAUGGACAAAAGCCAUCAAAACCUUAGAGUAUUCGUGCGGUGACACAUUUAUUCUAAAUUUUCCUUUGGGAUAUCAAAAAUCUCAAACUUAUAUAUGUGUAACAUAUUUACUAUCCGUCAAAAUGAGAUAAAUAAAGAAGAUGAAGGAAAAAAAUUCAAAGAAACCGGAAAAAUAUAACAUUUUGUUUAUGAAAUAGAGUUAUCAUAAUAAAGGAAUGGACAAAAGCCAUCAAAACCUUAAGAGUAUUCGCGCGGUGACACAUUUAUUCUAAAUUUUCCUUUGGGAUAUAAAAAAUCUCAAACUUAUAUAUGUGCAACAUAUUUACUAUCCGUCAAAGUUCUAUCAAUACAAACCUUUAAAAUCCCACCUACAUGGACAUCAAAAAACAAAUAGUGUUGACAUGGCGCCCACGUAUCUUUAGUGAAAUAAAAAUGAUAUUUACUUUAGCUGAAAAAUUAUUUUAUGGGACCUUAACGAAUGAUAAAUAUGUCACAUAAGUACAAAUUUGAGAUUUUUUACGUCAUAAGAAAAAGUCUAUGGUAAAUAUGUCAUAAUAGAUAUGUUUUGGAGUUUUUUGUCACAAAUAAAAAUUUAAAGUAAAUAUAUCAAAGUUUAAAGUAAAUGUACAAAUUUCUGUUAAGAUAAUAGUAUGGAAAAAAUCUCUGGGAAAUCGAAAUGUCUUUUCCUCUCUCUUCUUUGUCUUCUUCAAGUAUAGGGAGGGUAUGAGUUAGCCUCACCCUCCCAUUCAUCUAUUUUGAUUUGAUUUGAUUUUAUUUUUUUUCUUCUUCUUCUCUGUUCCCUCCACCCAACGCCACUAAGGGCAGCUCUAGCCAACCCUAGCCAACCCAGCAAGGGCGACCCAGGCCGGCGAAGAGAGGAGAGAAGGGAAAAAAGAAAGAAAAGAAAAAGAAAAAGAAAAAAUAGAAAAAAUAAGACGAAAAUGCUCUUGACGGGGUAAAUGUGUCAUAAUUUGCAAAGUUGAGGAUUUUUUAUGUCACAAAAAAAAGUUUGAGUAAAUUUAUCACUUACAUAAAGCUUGAGGUUUUUGGUGGUUUUUUUACCUCCACGUUUUCAUUGGCGUGUUCCUUUUUUUAUUAUUAUUCUGAUGAAUCACGUUAAUGCCCUCCACCUUAUGCUUAAAGCGUGCAAAAUUUGACUGCCUCUUGCGGUUCUCUUACCGCCGAAAAUGGAAAAUGAGUUCGAACCGAGAGAACUAAUACAAGAAUGGUAAAGAGGGGAACAAAAGACUUCUGGUCAUCUUGAUCAUGUCUAGUCAGAAAACCAAAUGUCCCCUGCAUAUGAAAUGGUCACAUUAUACAUAGAAUGCAUCUUGGAUAAGCACAUUCACACAGCUUUGAACAGGAUCCAGUUUACAAACACCCCCUUUGUAAAUAUAUUUUCUGUUAAAUUUUAUGUGAAGUAUAUUCAUCUAUAACAUUCACAGUAUCCCCAUUCACCACAUCUCCGUCGACCUAUGUGCUGACGACUGCUUUUUUGGGAAGUCCUUUUUUGAGAAGUCAUCUGUGUAGGACGAAGCUCAAUCCCCUGGAUGACUAGCCCGGAUUUCCACUUUGCCCUUUUCACCUCCAUCAAGCUUAUUUGAACCUCCCCGGUUGGAGGGUUUUCCACAAAAAACUCACCCAGAUUGAUCUCCUGCCACCCAUCUCCUCGGUCCUGAGGAGCUUUUUUCUCCCUAGCCCGAAUAACUCUUGCCACAGAUGCAUUGCGGAACACAUGCCGAGAUUUCUUGUGCGGGGUUUGAUAUCGUUGUCUCAACCUCCCAUCAGGAUCAAAAUAUAUAUUGCGUUGUUGACCUGCAGAACCACAAAAGAUGGACACUUCCACUGCUUGAUUCUCAAACCCAUAGUUCCCAUGCACAAACUUGAAGAUGAAGUAAGCUGCAUAAUAUGUGUCAGCAGACAGAAGUCGCAUCUCCAUCUUAGCGUGAACCUCAAGCCAGCGUGCACUUACAAGCUCUGCCACCUCUGGGAAUCUUUCAAAUAGAUGAACAGAUUUCAGUUACCAUACGAUAGAUGCCAAACAUAAGAAGACAGAUGACAGUAUCCACAGCAAAAGAGGAAAAUGUAACGGCAGUUUGGAGAUUGGAUGGACCUUGAGCCGUGGAGUGAACUCCAUCUCCAGAAGCUAGAAGUGUCAUCCCAUACUAUAGACAGAUCUCGAGCGCCAAUUAUAUAACACUUCUUCCCGCUCCAUUUUUCAAGUGCAAAACUCUGCAAAAGACAUGGGGAGAUCAUUCUACGUGAAAUAUUUGGAAAAUUAAGGAGGUGCUGUCUCUCCAUAAGAAACAUGACAAUAGCGAUGGAUAAUUAUGCAGAGAGAAUUACAAGUUGGUACUGAACAGAUAUGAUACUCCUCGAGACAUGAUUCCCAAAACGAUUAAAAUAAGAUUGUUGUACUUAAAUUAAGUAUUUAGGAUGCCCAUGAUCUCCACUAUAAUAAAAAUGAAAACAACAAGCUAGAGUAACUUCAUUGCUUCAAAAAGACCAUCACAACUGGGUUGUGUUCCAUGAACUUCUCCCAGUAAUAAAAUACCAAAAACGUAAAAGAAUCAUCACCCCAUGAACUUUUCAAUUGAAUGCACUUGACUCUUUGAUAAGUCAACCGUCCAACAUUAACCAAACGGUUAGUACAGAUGGUCCAUCUCUAUAUCCAGCCCAACCAAUUCUAGGAGUAACAGCUUCUAAUGUCAUUCUCUGCUUUCAACUAGUGCUCCCUCAAUUUAGACAAGGACAUCACGUUUUAGAACACAUGGAGACAAUUCGCCCUGCAUUCAUCAUUAUGUCAUUACGUGCAUGUGAGCAGAGACUGCACCAACGAGAUACCUUCACCAGACUUCUGUGGAACAAACGAUGUUCCAAUUCUAUCCCAAACUUUAACUAGAACCAGUUACGCCACAGCAGCCAUUUUAAAGCACGGUGUUCAAAUCCAUCCCUAGCUCAGCUGCUGCAGACAGCCCACAAGCCCAUUGGUAAAGAUGCCAUUCUCACCUACUAUUUUAACUUUGAAUUCGAGUAUCAAUAAUUUCUUCAGACUGCCCAGCAAAAACAGUGAAGCCAAAAGCAAUCAACCAGCCAACCCAAGUUUACAAAAGAAAAAUAAAACAAAAUUGAACCCGAGUACUAUGCCAAUUAGAGCAAAGGCUUAAAAUUGAGCUGACACGGCUUAUGCUUCAUAUCUUUGAGACCACCCUUCAGCACGAACGUUGUUAGCCACUUAAUAUCAGACCAUUUGUUCUAAUGCGCAGAUAAUUGAGAGAUUGCAGCUGACUACGCAAAUCAUUCUAAAAGCCUGAAACUAUUGGAAAAAGGCUCAAUUUUUGUCUUUAACGCGUGUGAUCGGCCAUGGUCUUCGAGAAG
rnacentral:lncRNA from 1 species